rnacentral:rRNA from 1 species
AGUGAACGCUGGCGGUAGGCCUAACACAUGCAAGUCGAACGGCAGCACAGUAAGAGCUUGCUCUUACGGGUGGCGAGUGGCGGACGGGUGAGGAAUACAUCGGAAUCUACUUUUUCGUGGGGGAUAACGUAGGGAAACUUACGCUAAUACCGCAUACGACCUACGGGUGAAAGCAGGGGAUCUUCGGACCUUGCGCGAUUGAAUGAGCCGAUGUCGGAUUAGCUAGUUGGCGGGGUAAAGGCCCACCAAGGCGACGAUCCGUAGCUGGUCUGAGAGGAUGAUCAGCCACACUGGAACUGAGACACGGUCCAGACUCCUACGGGAGGCAGCAGUGGGGAAUAUUGGACAAUGGGCGCAAGCCUGAUCCAGCCAUGCCGCGUGGGUGAAGAAGGCCUUCGGGUUGUAGAGCCCUUUUGUUGGGAAAGAAAAGCAGCAGGUUAAUACCCCGCUGUUCUGACGGUACCCAAAGAAUAAGCACCGGCUAACUUCGUG